rnacentral:sRNA from 1 species
UAUUCUGCCCUACAGGGAAGGAUGAGAAGCUUCGACUAAGGUUCGACUAAGGUUCGACUCGAGCGAAGCGAGAGAACGUUGCCGCUGGCAACGGCCCGAAGGGCGAGGCGCUUUAGCGCCGAGUAAUCCUUCCCCCACCACCA